AUGGCGAGGUCUAUUUAAAAGUCACGUCUGCCUUUUUGAUCAAUUUCUGUCCGUUCCCUCCCUUCUCUCCUUCCUCUACAAGUUUAAACGCAGAGGCUUUGAAGACAGUAUUUUACAAAUGGGAACUGCAGAUACCGCCAACAAGGACUUAACUUUUAGCUUGGCUGAGAAAAAACCAAAAGUGGUUUUUGUUUUAGGUGGUCCGGGUAGUGGGAAAGGUACUCAGUGUGCAAAAAUUGUCCAACACUUUGGUUACACCCAUCUGAGUGCUGGAGAUCUUCUCCGAGCGGAGAAAAACUCUGGUUCUGAAAAUGGUAUCAUGAUUCAAAACAUGAUGAAUGAAGGAAAGAUUGUUCCUUCUGAGGUGACAAUUAAACUUCUUCAAAAAGCAAUGGUGGAAAGUGGUAAAGACAAGUUCCUUAUUGAUGGUUUUCCUCGUAAUGAAGAAAACCGUGCAGCAUUUGAAGCUGUUACCAAAAUCGAGCCAGAAUUUGUCCUGUUUUUUAAUUGUCCUGAGGAAGAAUUGGAGAGGCGAAUUCUGAAUAGAAACCAGGGAAGAGAAGAUGAUAACAUUGAAACAAUAAGGAAGCGAUUUAAAGUGUUUCUAGAGUCCAGUCUUCCUGUAAUUGAGUAUUAUAAGGCCAAGGGCAAGGUUCAAGAGAUUGAUGCUGCAAAGCCCGUUGAAGAGGUAUUUGAGGCCGUUAAAGUUAUUUUCACCCCAAAAGUUGAGGAGAGUUGUUGGUGUAGGUAACUGCCUUGAUGUUGCAACUCUACCAGAGAUGAAAGAGUAAAUAAAUAGAGGGUUUUGUGUUAUUUGGCAUUUGUUUUAAUGCUAGUGAGUUAUCAUUUAUGUGAUGAGGUUCAUACCUCUUCAUUCUUGUCAUUCUGCUAUUAUUCUAAUAACACUAUCAAUAUUAUAAUAUUAAAAUUAGAAUAAAUGCUCCCAUUUCUCCAAUUAUAUGCCUGGUUCUUAUUCUUUGCAUGCUAAGUUCCCACUUUGAAUGCUUCAAAGUUGUUAUUCUUAUUCUUUGCACAUUAAGUUGCCACAGUGAGUGCUUCAAAUCUGAGAUUCUUAUUCUGUUCACUUUAAUCAUCAUGGCCUGUGUAGCCCCCUCACAAUGGACAAACAGCGGAAUGUAAUAUGUUCUUGUUGUCAUGAUUGAAGAUGCUAAAAUUUGGCAAUAAGUGGUUCAUCACCUCAUUGUUUGCUGCUUUAUCCUUUUCUUGAUGUGGAGCUCGCCUCUCUUUUGGUAAUACACUCAAAUAUAUUAGCAAGUUGGACAUGUGUUAAUUAUUAUUUUAUUACCAUAGAACAUGCACUUCCUUCUACAUUAAUAAAAAGAUCCACUUUUACGACAUAAAUUAUUGUUUUUUUUGUGUUUUUAUUUAUUUAUUUAAUGUUUUCAACUCAAAAACUUUCAAGAAUCCAAGACAACUUCAAAAUCUUGAACCAUUAGGGCAAAGCAACUACAGACUUUUCAUUGGUUGGCAUUUGCACAACUGCUAGUAUCUUUUAUAAGAUUCAAGCUAGAUAGAACGUGGUGUGGUUUUAUGUCAUUUAAUCAAAUCUAUCUUCCUGAACAAAUAUCUAUAUUCAUGUGAAUUGAAGUAACAAUCCUGAACAAAAAAAUAAAUAAAUAAAUAAAGAAGUAAAUUAUAGAGAGAAAGAACUAGGAGAUAAAAGUCACAUUGCCAAUAAUAAAUUUAUUUAAGUUCUGGCACUUUGAUGAUGAUUCCCAACACUCCUGGUGUAAUUCAUAAGUACAUGACAUUGAAACCUGCAAUUCCAUUUCCGAACAGGGGUUAAUCCUGCAAUUCCAUUCUAUUACCCGAGUCAAAUUGUGUGUGCUGUGCUACCAUCCAUCUCAUUCUUUGAAUUUUAUCUUUUUUUUUUCCCGGAUGAUGGUCUACUGUAGUAAAUAGUAAUCAAACCUCAAAAGUAGUUGCAAGUUUCAACCUUGGUGAGUGAAAAUGUAUGACUCAUGUUUGAGGAUGGAAAGAGAGAUUUUUUUAUGAAAAAUCUACUCUCUACUAUAGGAGCUUUACUCAUGACAGUUUACUGUAACAUAUCCUCCCCCUUCCCCCUGGCCCUGGUUGCCUAAGGCAUGUUAUUUGUUGCCCUUGCCCUCUAAGAUUCACCUUUGGUUGAUGUGUUCUCUUACAAACCUUUUUCUUCUUGUUCAUCUUGAUUGUGCUAUUGUUUCUGCAUUCUGAUCCCGGUCUGCACUUCUAUGCAGGAGCUCCUCACCUAGUUUCUAUGCCCUUGGCACUUCAGUAUGUCCUUAACUUCAUUCUCUCUCUCAUACACAUGCGCAUACACACGCACAAAAGCAUGCAUGCGUGCACACAUAUGCCACCCACCCAAUUAGACCCACUAAAAUAUACAUAAUAUGCAUUCAACACAAGCACAAUGUCACGGUCUGUGCCUUCCUCAUUCUGAAACCACGCCUCUGUGCAGCACCAAGACUACUCGUAGUCGAGGUCAGCUUUCCCUCAAGUCUAAUUUUCCUUGGACAGCUUAAUUUCGAUCCUUCAAGCUGCUUACUCAAGAGUCUCUUCUGGCUUUGACCCCGUAGGGUUGCUCAUUCUGAACUCUAUAGGGAGGAACCCAACUCUCAUCACUCAUCAGCCCACGAUUCUCAAAGUGGCCCCGAGCACCCAUCUUUGCCCGUAGGGCUUAAGGUCUCGAGCACCGACCCACGAAUACCCGUGGGGCACAUAGCCCCGGUUCUCAUGAUAUUAUUACUUCUUGACAUGGUGAGAACCCAACGCCAUGCCCGCUCGUAUCGUACGCAAACUCUCGUAUCAAGUUUACACGAGUGCCACACUUAAGCUAGUCAGCAGCCAAGUCGGAGCCUCUAGGCUCAUCUCAUCCCACGGGACUCGGUUCUUAGGGCUUAGGCCCUUAGCUUCUAUGUAGACUGCCCGCACGCAUGAUUGACACCCAACAUCAUGCUAGUCCCACAAGGGGGACUUGGGUGGACUGCCCCAGCUGCAACACACCUCUACCGAUUAGCCACAAGGGUCUAGCAGCGUGCCUGCCUGCUAGCCCGCACAUCCCUCAGGCUCGAUGGCGUCCCUCUUUCGCAAACAGCAUCUUAUGAUCCUUCGGCUCAAGGAGGGGAAACCGAGGGGCAUAGCGAAUUUUACCAUGUAACCCCAUGGCUCAACGCAAAGGCGCGAUACGAGAUCCGUCGGCCCCAACCGUCCCCGGGUUUAUCAUGACCCGAGGAAACAUCGUGCCACGCGCGUGACCCUACGAUGCCCGCCCACCUAGACACCACUAGUGCCUAGGAGUAGCUCACUUGAGAUUAGCUAGGCCCUUGCCUGCCCGCUAGCCAAGGGGGUGGUGGAGAGCUGACACCAGUCAUCCCUCUAUAAAGAGCGUAAGAGAUUUUCCCAAUCUCCUACCAGUAACCGUAAGAUUGUCUGAAAUAGGGACACUUUUCUCUCCAGCCAUCUCAGGGCCUUUCUCCGGCUAACUUAGGGCCCCAUAACCUUCCUCUUGGUCACCAUUAUUCCUUGAUUCUACUCGUUGCUCCACCAAUCCACUCGAAGGUGCCUGUGUCACGGGCUCCGACCUUAGACUCAGAAUCCGUGCGGCCUUAGGCUUGGAAUCUCCUCCUUUGUGCCGAAG